rnacentral:rRNA from 1 species
GACGAACGCUGGCGGCGUGCUUAACACAUGCAAGUCGAACGGUGAAGCCCUUCGGGGUUGAUCUGUGGCGAACGGGUGCGUGACACGUGAGCAACCUGCCCCUGGCCCUGGGACAACCACUGGAACCGGUGGCUAAUACCGGAUACGACCCGCCUCUGCCUCGAGUGUGGGUGGAAAGUUUUUCGGCUGGGGAUGGGCUCGCGGCCUAUCAGCUUGUUGGUGAGGUGAAGGCUCACCAAGGCGACGACGGGUAGCCGGCCUGAGAGGGCGACCGGCCACACUGGGACUGAGACACGGCCCAGACUCCUACGGGAGGCAGCAGUGGGGAAUAUUGCACAAUGGGCGAAAGCCUGAUGCAGCGACGCCGCGUGAGGGAUGACGGCCUUCGGGUUGUAAACCGCUUUCGGCUCAGAAGAAGCGAAAGUGACGGUAGGAGCAGAAGAAGCACCGGCUAACUACGUG